GGACAGCACUGGGACCUGGCUGCUGGAAGAGGGAGGUCUCAGCACCUCCUGCCAGAGAGAGGUCCUGGGGUAAAUCACCUGCUGGAGAGAAGACCUGGGAGAUCACCUGCUGGAGAGAGGUCCUGGGGUAAAUCACCUGCUGGAGAGAAGACCUGUGAGAUCACCUACUGGAGAGAGGUCCUGGGGUAAAUCACCUCAUGGGGAUAUGGAAAGGACCUGGGAGCAGAUCACUUACUGGAGAGAGGUCCUGUGAGAUCACCUGGGGCGAUAAUCUGGGAAGAAUCACCUGAAGAGAGGAAUCACCUGAAUAGAGGUCUUGGGAGCAGAUGAUUUGCUGGAUUGAGGUCCUGGGAGAAGAUAACCUGCUGGAUUGAGGUCCUGGGAGUAGAUCACCUGCUGGAUUGAGGUCCUGUGAGCAGAUCACUUGCUGGAUUGAGGUCCUGGGAGCAGAUCACCUGCUGGAUUGAGGUCCUGGGAGCAGAUCACCUACUGAAUUGAGGUCCUGGAAGCAGAUGACUUGCUGGAUUGAGGUCCUGGGAGCAGAUCACUUGCUGGAUUGAGGUCCUGGGAGCAGAUAACUUGCUGGUUUGAGGUCCUGGGAGCAGAUGACUUGCUGGAUUGAGGUCCUGGGAGCAGAUGACUUGCUGGAUUGAGGUCCUUGGAGCAGAUCACCUGCUGGAAUGAGAUCCAGUGAUGUGAGAUCACGUGUAGAAGACAGUGCUGGCUGGCUGUAGAGUGCUUGGGGUGUGAGAUCACUUGCUGGGUGAUAGUGUCUAGGAUUGUAGACAGCCUGGGAUUAUACAGUCUCUGGGGUGUAAUCUCAUGUUGAGGAGAGUCUGGGGUGAUCACUGACUGGGGGAUCUCAUGGAUUUAAAGAUCAAGAGAUCUGCUGCCUCUGGGUCUCUCAGUUUUUUAAGGAUCUGUUUCUG